ACCUGGGUGGUGCAAAGAGUUAACACAUUUGGCUGCUAACCAAAAGGUUGGUGGUUCAAGUCUACCCAGAGAUG
rfam:Loxodonta africana unplaced genomic scaffold scaffold_0, whole genome shotgun sequence.